rnacentral:rRNA from 1 species
UACAGAGGUCUCAAGCGUUGUUCGGAAUCACUGGGCGUAAAGGGUGCGUAGGUGGCGUGGUAAGUCAGAUGUGAAAGCCUGGGGCUCAACCUCAGAAUUGCAUCCGAUACUGCUAUGCUAGAGUACUGGAGGGGUGACUAGAAUUCUCGGUGUAGCAGUGAAAUGCGUAGAUAUCGAGAGGAAUACCAAAGGCGUAGGCAGGUCACUGGACAGUUACUGACACUGAGGCACGAAGGCCAGGGGAGCGAACGGG